AGGUGUAGUAGGAUCUAUGCUACUGAACUGUCUAGUCACAGACCCUUCAAGGUGUGACAUGUUGGUGUUGUCGGCAGGACUUGGGCAGUCUGGAGAACUGGCUGCUCCCUCCCCCCUUGUGCAUACUUCCUGAGGUGGACUCUUAAAAUACUCAGGUGCUAUAUGGGUGGAUGCUGUGCUGGUGUGUGCAAACCAUGCUAUUUAGUAGCUGGAGAUGGUGGCACCAGAGGAGACUGCCCAGUUGAAAGCCUCCUCGUAUCUGGCGGGACAACUGACGAGGUGUCCCACUCCUAGUGAGCGGUUGGGAUUCAGGAAGCAUGGCAAAGAUAGGACACCUUGCAGCUAAACGGACCUGCUGGUGCCAGUCAAGCCUGGUCUGGAGAGGAGCCUAUGGGUGGGGUCUACAGAUGUGGGCGAGCAACACAGUAUGGAGGCCUCCAUGGGCCCUAACCUUGAGGAGUAGCUUCAGUACACCGGUGAGGGAGUGAAGCACAACCGGUCAAACUUUUGAGCAUUCAAUAUGGAACUUAGGGACAACUAAAUGCUUGGAGGAAGUUGUUGUGCUAAGGGUGACAGAACUUGAGCCAUUUUUUUGGUGUGAACAUUUAUUUGCAUGUUUUUGAAUUGCUAGCAUUGCCUUUUCUAUUUACUCAAAUGUGUGGACAUCUUUUGUUUUAGUGGGUGAGAAUGUCACAGGAGUGACAUGCCGUUAAUUACUUUGCAUGCUAUUGCUCUAAUUUAGUUUUCCUAACUGAUAGAUUCAUGGAGCAAUGUGAUUGGCUCUGUUUAUAACCCUUAUUGCCUCUGAGAUGUGGCUGCUCAGGGGAUGGUGCAUGUGUCUGAGGUGGUGUCUGAAGCCUUGUUUUGUUUGCUAAGAGAAGUAUUGCCUUGAUGAAAUAAUGAUUUAAGUUAAAGAUGUUAAUGCUGUUCCUGCACUAAUAAUUUGUAUGUUAUCCUGCUAGUUGUGCUAAAGUAAAUAUAGAAACUGAACUUGGAAGAUAACAACAUGAACUGAAAUGUGACAUGCCUCUUCUCAUUUCAUGUUCUUCCACUCAACCACAAACUGAAAGAACCUGCAGCCAAUAGUGUUAUUCAGUGCUCCCUAUGCUCUUGGUGUAAACCUAGGGUGGUGUAGUUGGAUCGAUGGUACUGAACUGUCUAGUCACAGCCGCUCUCUGUCGGGGUGUGAGGCAGGAACUAUAGAAUUAGGGGUGCUGAACUGAAAUUGGUAACCCUUAAUUUGGAUAGUCCCAAAUAAGUUUGUAGAUGCUCAGAUCAAUUAACUCAACAUUUCUACGAUCCACUAACCCUAAACUUAACCCUCUGACAUAUAGGCAUACUCGGAUGUGUUUAUGGGCCUGUUUGAGGUUUGCUUUAGUCCUCAAGUCAUGGUUAUAUAUUGCGAUUGGGCUAGUAAGUUUAUUUUGUACGUUUAUUCUAUUCCCAACUAUUUUCUGUCAACUGUAAAUGCAACUUCUGGAUCUUGUCUUUAUCACCUGCCCUGUAAAAUAAAUCUCACCUGUUUUAUCACCUUAA